AGAGUUAAAUAGUACGUGAAAUUGUUGAAAGGGAAACGAUUGAAGUCAGUCAUGCUUGCAAGGAAUCAACAAAGUGGUUUCUUCCUUGUGCACUUCCUUGCUUGGCAGGUUAGCAUCAAUUUUGAUUGUCAUUAAAGAACUGGGGGAAUGUGGCUUCUUCGGGAGUGUUAUAGACCCUGGUAGAUGUGGCGAUUGGGAUUGAGGAUUGCAGCGAAUGCUUCUUGGCUAGUCACCUGGUUUCUGAUGGUCACCUUGCUUCCGAUAGCUUGCUAACGUUGGUGAGAUUUGAUCGUCUAGAUGUUAGUGUGAUCAUAAAUUCGCUAAGGAUGCUGACGUAAUGGCUUUAAACGA
rnacentral:misc_RNA from 1 species